ACACACUCAUGAUCGUCAGGACCUGACACUAUACCAGCGUGCUACAGUCUCCAUUAGCUACAGCCUGCAUUUUUGUCAGAACCACGUCCAACAUUGAAAUAAAACAACAAUCUCAUGAGUCCAAGAAUAGUAUACCGAAUCCAGAAGAAAUAAAAACCAUUUCAUAAUUAGUACACAAUUCCAAUGAAAACAAGUAAAUUUCACAAUUGCAGAUCCUCUCCCACUCCUCACUUUUGUUCACAAAAGAAAUUCAGAAUAUACAGCACAAUCCAAGAAUUUGAGUCUAAAAGAAUUGGUUCGUCCAACAUCAUUGGCCAAGUUGCCGGCUUGCUGCUGAGAUAUUGACUUUCUCAAAAUGAAGGAAUCCUCCAGAAGUAAUUAAAACAGCGUGAUCUUUCAACUUUAGAAGGCCAAGGCUAAAACCAACGUCCCUCUGAAAACCGACUUUUAUUUCUAUGAAGAGAAAAACAAUAAAAAAACAACCUAUUUCCUCUCAAAAUCUGUUAAAUGCAUCACUUGUAUGUGUGAAAACCCCAUAUAAUUAGUGAGUGAUAAAACACAUGCACUCCUGUGAAUAAAACAAAACUAACUUACUUCAGCCUAUAGAUUGGCCUACUCUAUUUUACUGGACAAUCAUAUACCCUAUAUUAUUAUUUUUGCGGGGAAUGAUAAAUCUGGUACGAUAUUAAACAGUGCCCAUACAAAAGUGUGUAAAACAAUUAGCUGAACAUGGGUCACCGGUAUUAAUACAGUAGGGCGUGCCUCAGUUUCUUCUGACGUUCAUAUGCAGGACAUAGGAGUACAUGCUGUAUUGUUGCUACAUGUCCCAAAACAGAAGCAAGUGAAAGCUAGCUACAUACAUACUCUUCUUAGGAUUUUAUUUAGAUAAUGGUGCAGAGCAGGCGUACCAGUAAAAAAUGAAAUCCUUCUAAUGCCUAGCAGAGCAGCGUAACAGUCAAAAAGUAAAUCCUUCUAAUGCCUGGGAUCAAAAUAAAUCGAAGAAUAAAAACAGGGUUAUCAUGCCCUAUUAAUCUGCACCUUUGAAAAUCAUUCACCUACUUUUUCCCAAGGAGAUCCAGAAUCCAGGGAAUCAAGAAGCAUAUAUGUGACACGAUACUUUCUCCUCAACGCCGAAAUGCCAUCGAUGUUGGCUAGAGGAGGAGAGGAUGACGGCGCGCUGAAGAAGGCAUCUAAAUGGCCCAACAUCCUUCAUCUGUGCACAGCGUGAGGAAUCUCGGUGGAAAAUCAAAG
rnacentral:lncRNA from 1 species